UGGGGAAUAUUGCACAAUGGGCGCAAGCCUGAUGCAGCCAUGCCGCGUGUGUGAAGAAGGCCUUCGGGUUGUAAAGCACUUUCAGCGAGGAGGAAGGGUAGUGUGUUAAUAGCACAUUGCAUUGACGUUACUCGCAGAAGAAGCACCGGCUAACUCCGUGCCAGCAGCCGCGGUAAUACGAAGGGUGCAAGCGUUAAUCGGAAUUACUGGGCGUAAAGCGCACGCAGGCGGUUUGUUAAGUCAGAUGUGAAAUCCCCGCGCUUAACGUGGGAACUGCAUUUGAAACUGGCAAGCUAGAGUCUUGUAGAGGGGGGUAGAAUUCCAGGUGUAGCGGUGAAAUGCGUAGAGAUCUGGAGGAAUACCGGUGGCGAAGGCGGCCCCCUGGACAAAGACUGACGCUCAGGUGCGAAAGCGUGGGGAGCAAACA
rnacentral:rRNA from 1 species